GGAGAAGGCCAGUGAAGGCAAUGGAAGUUGGCCCUGGGCACUAUCAAUGUAAUUUCCUUGCCAUGGAAGGUACAUAGGAACUGCCUGGAAAUAUACCAUAAAUUUAUUGGAAUCCAAUCUAUUAUUAAUAAAAGUCUAACCUAUUUUGGAAUCAAGACCUGAAAGUUAGAUAAUGCUAUGGAACAGACCAUCAUCUGAAAGGUUUCAUUUGAUAGGGUGUCUGAUUUUGGGAUUUCCUCAAGGGAUUGUGAGGAUGAAGAGGAGAAAUUGCAUAGAUAUGUGUUUUAAGAGAUGCCCUGGCCACCUUUCUCUAUGCCAGCAAAUGAAGAAAAUGAUGAGAUACUGAAAAAUGUACAAGAAAUUGAAUUAUAUCCCAUAAAGGGUUGGCCUA